CCAGCAGAAUUACUCAAGAACUGACUACUCUGAGCUGACUGAAUAUGUGAUACUCACACCUUGUGAGUUUACUUUUCUGCACCAAGGCAGUGAAGGACCCUCCUCUCCAAGUCUUACAGAUACAUGGUUCAACCGGUAUUGGACAGCACUAGCGCAAGAAAUAUAGUAGAGCAAAUUCUCACUUCCAAGCCAUCAGGAAUGACUGUGAUCAAGGAGUAUGAAGAGACUGGGA